rnacentral:rRNA from 1 species
GACGUAGGGCGCGAGCGUUGUCCGGAUUUAUUGGGCGUAAAGAGCUCGUAGGCGGCUUGUCGCGUCGACCGUGAAACCUCACAGCUCAACUGUGAGCCUGCGGUCGAUACGGGCAGGCUAGAGUUCGGUAGGGGAGACUGGAAUUCCUGGUGUAGCGGUGAAAUGCGCAGAUAUCAGGAGGAACACCGGUGGCGAAGGCGGGUCUCUGGGCCGAUACCGACGCUGAGGAGCGAAAGCGUGGGGAGCGAACAGG